AUGCAUCACCACGUUGCCGAAGCCAUUUCUGCUUCCUACACAGAGCAAAGCCAGGAUUCAAGCCUCGUGAGUCUGGCUGCAGACCACAGCCUCAGCCAUGCGGCCGGGGCACCAUGCAGAGGGCCCUGGGAGAGAUUCAUGUCCUUAUGGCCUCCCGGAUGGUCUCCCAGGAAGAAGAGGAGUCCAUGGAGCCACCAGGAGAGGAGAGAACUUGUGCAGGCAGUGGGGACAGCACAUGAAAAGUGCACAGAUGUGGGGGUGGGGGAACGAGCCUCCACGUUGUGGGGCAGGAGCACAAGGGACCAGGUGGUAGCAAUAUUAGCAAGGGAGGGGUGGGGCUGUAUCCUGGAGGCACCUAGGGACUCGAGUCUGAGAUCAGACAGGGGUACCCAUUGGAAGGAGGGAGCUGGGUGGGAUGGGGUGGCUUCCUGUUUAUUCAAGCCCAGUGAGGGGCUUCAGGGAGACCAGGUCUGGGCCUGGUGUCUGCCUCUCGCUCCAGAAUCCCAAGGAGGAUGGACAGGCUGCAGCAGCCCAAGACAGCAGGGGAGGGGCUGUGGGAAGGAGGGAGCAGCAUUCCCAGCCUCCCAGGGAGGGGGAAGGGUACACAGAGGGCAUGCUGCCCGGAGGCUAGAACUGGGGUACAAGAGUCUAGAACUGGGGUACAAGAGUCAGCCAGUCUCCUCCGGGACCUUUAGAGUCCUGGGAUGGGGGAAUCAUCAGCAACUGGUGGUGGAAACACAUCCGCCCCUAAGGGGUGUGCAGCAGACUCAAAGAGUGCCCCAGGUCAUACCUCCUGGUCCAGCUCAGACGCAGCCCGAGCCUCAGCACCCCGGGCACCCCUCCACCUUCCUACCACGGGGCUAUCUCCAGAGCUCGGAGCUCAGGGAGCUGCUGGGCCUGCUGGCUCAGGUACUGGCUACGAGUGCAGGCAGCCAGCAGCCAGCAGCCAGCACCCAUCCAAUAGUGUGCAGCUGUGGGAGAAGCCCCUGCUUCAGGCCUUAA
rnacentral:lncRNA from 1 species